UUUCAGGCCUCUUGCUGCUUUGCAAACUGACUCUGAGCGGCUGGGUGGGGGUGGGGUGCAGAUGGGGGGGACUCUUGGGCCAUUUUUGGCAUUUGAAUAUUCCCUGAUGUUGGGAAACCAUAUGUAUAAUUAAAAAGAAAACAGGGGUGCCUGGGUAGCUCAGUCAGUUGGGCUUUCGACUCUUGGUUUCGGCUCAGGUCAUGAUCUCAGGGUCGUGGGAUCGAGCCCCACGUUGGGCUCCAAGCUAGGUGGGGAGUCUGCUUAGGGUUCUCUCUCUCUCUCUCCCCCCCUCUGCCCCUCCCCUGCUCAUGCUCUUUCUUUCAAAUAAAGCCUUUAAAAAAAAAAAAAGUUGGGUGGAAAAAUAGCUCCUACGCUGAGAGAUGCCUUUAAAAAAAAUUCUUGGGGCGCCUGGGUGGUUCCGGUUGGUUUAGCAUCUGCUUUCAGCUUGGGUUGUGAUCCUGGAGUCCCGGGAUCAAGCACCCACAUCGGGCUCCCUGCUCAAAGGGGAGUCUGCUUCCCUCCGCCUCUGUCCCUCUCCCUGCUUGUGCUGUCUGUCUCAAAAAAAAUGCUUUCCCUCUUCCUUUGCCCCUCCCCCCACCUUUCUCUCUCUCCCUCUCUUAAAACAAUAGGCCCCAAAUGACAUCACUUAGGCCAAGUCCCCAAAAGGGGGCUUAAUACCUAAUCUGCAUUGUCGACCUCCCCCUAAAAUGUACUUUUAUUUUUUAAGCUUUAUUUAUUUUAGAGAGAGCAUGAGCUGGAUGGACAGAGGGAGAGUGAAUCUCAGGCAGACUCCGUGCUCAGCUCGGAGCCCAAUGCAGGGCUCAAUCUCAUGACCCCAACCAAGAUUAUGACCUGAGCUAAAACCAAGAAUUUAAUGUUUAACUGACUGCACCACCCAUGCACCCCCCAAAAUGUAGUCUUUUUUUUUUAACUUUUUUUUUAAAGAUUUUAUUUAUUCAAUUGAGAGAGAGAAUACAAGCAGGGGAAGCGGCGGGCAGAGGGAGAGGGAGAAGCAGGCUUCCCGCUGAGCAGGGAGCGCAAUGUGGGGCUCCAUCCCAGGACGCUGGGAUCAUGACCUGAGCCAAAGGCAGACGCUUAACGACUGAGCCACCCAGGUGCCCCCCAAAAUGUAGUCUUAACUGGUCAGUGGAGUUUUCCGAUGGGCACCAAUGAGUCUGCCACAUGGGCCUCUCCAUCUCCCAAAGGAAGCUGUAAUGUGCAUGGUGAGACUCCCUGUUCUCCCCACUAAGGGAAAGUGAUCUUGUCAGGAACAGUCCUUUUACUAUUCACUUUCUUUUUUUUUAAGAUUAUUUAUUUAUUUAUUUAUUUAUUUAUUUAUUUAUUUAUUUAUUUAUUUAUCAGAGACAGUGAGAUUAGGAACACAAGCAGGGGGAGUGGGAGAGGGAGAAGCAGGCUUCCGGCUGAGCAGGGAGCCCGAUGCGGGGCUCGAUCCCAGGACCCUGGGAUCAUGACCUGAGCUGAAGGCAGACACUUAACGACUGAGCCACCGAGGGGCCCCUACUAUUCACUUUCUUGCCCCCAUCCUCCUUCCACUGUACAACUGCUGAGAGCCCCCCCACUCCACUUGCUAGAUGGGUUACUGCCCGAUUCACGAAUCAUCCGAUAAGGCCAAUUAGAUCUUCACAUGUACUCAGUUGAAUUUUUUAACCAUUAUCUUUUAAAUUUAUGGAUAAUCCCAAAUGCAGAACAUUGGGACUGAUACCAAGACUUAGAUGUUAAGUUUACUUAGGGCUUGAUGCAAAAGGAGGGUGGUGUGUGAGGUGACCGCCGAUUGGCUGUGAUCGGUACGUGCGUGCAUCUGGAGAUAGAGAGGCUUCUGGUUCGGAGCACCCUGGCCAAGCAAGACCCAUCCUCAACCAUGACCGGGACUGAGGCCAUGCAGCUUCCCAGCCCUGUCUUUGCCGGUCCCAGACCCAGCUCUUGCCUCUGCCCACACCUUGCAAAGACCCCCUAGCAAACCCCCGACAGGCUGCCUGUCCUCAUUUUCUUCACAGGAAACCAGCUACUCCAAAAGCCCCUCCACAACCCUCCCAAGUGGUGGCUUUCAUUCUCAAACCUCACACACCUCUCAGGGAUUUGGGGUUUGGGUCCUCCCUGUACCACUUCCAGAUUAUUCUCCACCCCUUUUGAAGAAAAGCUUGCCCCAUUUUAGGCUCACGCCAUCCUACUAAACUGCCUUCACCCCCUACUUGGUAUUCUGCUGGCUUCUCAAUCAUCCCCUGUGAAAGAGACGGCCAGUCGUUCCCCAAUAUCUGCUUCCUCCUCUACAAAUAUAACGCUCAAGUAUUUUAGCAGGGGUUGUGGUGUGCUCAAAGAUGACGUCUCCCAGCUGCCCUUAACAGGUGGGAUUAUAUUCUGACCAACAGGAGAGAAAACAAUGAAUACAACUUCCAAGUGUUCUUAAAGGAAGGGUGCAUGCUUCUCUUCAGCUUUUCUUGCUUCCUGCUGUCUGGGUUGAAGACGUGAUGGCUGGAACUCCAGCACCCAUAUUGGAUCAUGAGCCAACAGCUCAACACUGCAAGCUCCGAACACCCUUUCCGGCCAAGGUCACUGCUGUGAUGGAUUCUCGGCAUCGCAAUCUUACAUUGAGCUAUGUGUUCCUCUGAUCAACAAUCUGUCUCCUCAGUUGAGUGUAAGCUCCAUGGGAGUGGGAACUCCAUCUCCGUCCUCCCCUGUGUCCUCCCACCUGGCACGGCACCUGUCACCCACUAGGAACACAUGAAUAAAUACAAAUGUUGACAUUGGUAAAGAUA